ensembl:lncRNA
UCUCUAUUGAAGCUGGGUUGUGUUCAUUUGAGCACACACCAUAACGAAAUGUGUUGCAAAACUAAACAGUCAUUUGAUAUUGAACAAGUUCAGAUAGUUUUCUACCUCCUGUUUCACUGUGUUUUCUUCUGUAUUGAGCUUCUAAACACGACCCUGUCCGUUAUUGACUUCUUCUCUGUCCGUCUCUGUAGUGGUCUGUUGUUGUUGUUGUAUUGACCAUGUUGUCCUCUGUUGUUAUUUACACCAGUGGCCUUGGACCUGUUGUUGUUGUUGUAUUGACCAUGUUGUCCUCUGUUCUUAUUUACCCCAGUGGCCUGUUGUUGUUGUUGUUGUUGUUGUUGUAUUGACCAUGUUGUCCUCUGUUCUUAUUUCCCCCAGUGGCCUGUUGUUGUUGUUGUUGUUGUUGUAUUGACCAUGUUGUCCUCUGUUCUUAUUUCCCCCAGUGGUCUGUUGUUGUUGUUGUUGUUGUUGUUGUAUUGACCAUGUUGUCCUCUGUUCUUAUUUCCUCCAGUGGUCUGUUGUUGUUGUUGUAUUGACCAUGUUGUCCUCUGUUCUUAUUUCCUCCAGUGGCCUGUGUUGUUGUUGUUGUUGUUGUUGUUGUUGUUG